rnacentral:lncRNA from 1 species
UUUGAGUUUUGGAUAAUAUAUAUAGUGGGUUUUUUGGUGCUUAAGAAAAAUACCUGUUAAACCAAGGAUUACCCAUUGUGAUUUACUUGUUCCUUAAGAGAGAGACUUUAGGCAUCAGCUCUGGGACUGUGGGAUUCCAGACUAUGGAAGAGAGCCAGUGCUCACUGCUCACCCCAAUGCUUGUAGGAG